rnacentral:sRNA from 1 species
CGAUUUUUAUUAUGGGUAUUGGUUUAGCCACAGGCGCUGAUACCCCUACAUCGGCGCCCUGACUCACGGGACGCCCACCAGAGAAUUCUCAACCCCCGGUCGGCUCCCCGACCGGGGG